UUCUACAGUCCUACGAGCUUCCUCUUUUCCUUCGGUUGCUGUGUGUGUCCCGGACACCUCUGGCAGGACUAACCCUAUCGCUUUUAUGUCCAACGUGCUGUAUGCCUGCAGUAUCCUGUACAAGACAAAGCUACCUUUCGUUGUAGUCAUGACGAAAG